CAAUAGCGUAUAUUAAAGUUGUUGCAGUUAGAACGCUCGUAGUCGGAUUUCGGGGCGGGGCGACCGGUCUGCCGAUGGGUACGCACUGGUCGGCGCGUCCUUCCUUCCGGAGACCGUGCCUACUCUUAACUGAGCGGGGGCGGGAGACGGAACGUUUACUUUGAAAAAAUCAGAGUGUUUCAAGCAGGCAGCUCGCUCUUGCAUGGAUUAGCAUGGGAUAAUGAAAUAGGACUUUGGUGCUAUUUUGUUGGUUUCGAACACCGAAGUAAUGAUGAGAAGGGACAGUCAGGGGCACUCGUAUUCCGCCGAGAGAGGUGAAAUUCUCAGACCAGCGGAAGACGAACCACUGCGAAAGCAUUUGCCAGGGAUGUUUNCACUGA
rnacentral:rRNA from 1 species